rnacentral:rRNA from 1 species
AUUGAACGCUGGCGGCAGGCCUAACACAUGCAAGUCGAGCGGAUGAAGGGAGCUUGCUCCUGGAUUCAGCGGCGGACGGGUGAGUAAUGCCUAGGAAUCUGCCUGGUAGUGGGGGAUAACGUCCGGAAACGGGCGCUAAUACCGCAUACGUCUUGAGGGAGAAAGUGGGGGAUCUUCGGACCUCACGCUAUCAGUUGAGCCUAGGUCGGAUUAGCUAGUUGGUGGGGUAAAGGCCUACCAAGGCGACGAUCCGUAACUGGUCUGAGAGGAUGAUCAGUCACACUGGAACUGAGACACGGUCCAGACUCCUACGGGAGGCAGCAGUGGGGAAUAUUGGACAAUGGGCGAAAGCCUGAUCCAGCCAUGCCGCGUGUGUGAAGAAGGUCUUCGGAUUGUAAAGCACUUUAAGUUGGGAGGAAGGGCGGUAAGUUAAUACCUUGCUGUUUUGACGUUACCAACAGAAUAAGCACCGGCUAACUUCGUG